rnacentral:rRNA from 1 species
AGAGUUUGAUUCAUGGCUUCAGGAUGAACGCUAGCGGCAGGCUUAAUACAUUGCAAGUCGAGGGGCAACAGGUUUGUAGCAAUACAAAUGCUGGCGACCGGCAAACGGGUGCGGAACACGUACACAACCUUCCUUUAAGUGGGGAAUAGCCCAGAGAAAUUUGGAUUAAUACCCCGUAACAUUAUGAUGUGGCAUCACAUUAUAAUUAUAGCUCCGGCGCUUAAUGAUGGGUGUGCGGCUGAUUAGGUAGUUGGCGGGGUAACGGCCCACCAAGCCUGCGAUCAGUAACUGGUGUGAGAGCACGACCAGUCACACGGGCACUGAGACACGGGCCCGACUCCUACGGGAGGCAGCAGUAAGGAAUAUUGGGCAAUGGAGGCAACUCUGACCCAGCCAUGCCGCGUGGAGGAUGAAGGCCCUCUGGGUUGUAAACUUCUUUUAUUUGGGACGAAAAAGGGCUUUUCUAAGUCAACUGACGGUACCAGAUGAAUAAGCACCGGCUAACUCCGUGCCAGCAGCCGCGGUAAUACGGAGGGUGCAAGCGUUAUCCGGAUUCACUGGGUUUAAAGGGUGCGUAGGGUGGGUUGGUAAGUCAGUGGUGAAAUCCCCGAGCUUAACUUGGGAACUGCCAUUGAUACUAUCAGUCUUGAAUAUUGUGGAGGUCAGCGGAAUACGUCAUGUAGCGGUGAAAUGCUUAGAUAUGACAUAGAACACCAAUUGCGAAGGCAGCUGGCUACACAUAUAUUGACACUGAGGCACGAAAGCGUGGGGAUCAAACAGGAUUAGACACCCUGGUAGUCCACGCCCUAAACUAU